rnacentral:rRNA from 1 species
CAGCAGCCGCGGUAAUACGUAGGGUGCAAGCGUUAAUCGGAAUUACUGGGCGUAAAGCGUGCGCAGGCGGUUAUAUAAGACAGAUGUGAAAUCCCCGGGCUUAACCUGGGAACUGCAUUUGUGACUGUAUAGCUAGAGUACGGCAGAGGGGGAUGGAAUUCCGCGUGUAGCAGUGAAAUGCGUAGAUAUGCGGAGGAACACCGAUGGCGAAGGCAAUCCCCUGGGCCUGUACUGACGCUCAUGCACGAAAGCGUGGGGAGCAAACAGGAUUAGAUACCCCCGUAGUCCCUGUCUCUUAUAC